CACCGCGGUUAUACGAGAGACCCAAGUUGUUAGUUAUCGGCGUAAAGCGUGGUUAAGAUAUUUUACCUAGACUAAAGCCGAACAUCUUCAAGGCUGUUAUACGCACCCGAAGACAAGAAGAUCAAUAACGAAAGUGGCUUUAUCCCAUCUGAACCCACGAAAGCUAUGGUA
rnacentral:rRNA from 1 species